UACGUAGGUGGCAAGCGUUGUCCGGAUUUAUUGGGCGUAAAGGGAGCGCAGGCGGUUGGAAUAGUCUGAUGUGAAAGCCCACGGCUUAACCGUGGAAGGUCAUUGGAAACUGUCCAACUUGAAUGCAGAAGAGGUAAGUGGAAUUCCAUGUGUAGCGGUGAAAUGCGCAGAGAUAUGGAGGAACACCAGUGGCGAAGGCGACUUUCUGGUCUGCAACUGAC
rnacentral:rRNA from 1 species